rnacentral:tRNA from 1 species
UCCGACGUAGCUCAGUGGUAGAGCAGUUGACUGUUAAUCAAUUGGUCGCAGGUUCGAAUCCCGCCGUCGGAGCCA